UACGUAGGUGGCAAGCGAUACUCGGAAUCACUAGGCGUAAAGCGCAGGUAGGCGGUUUGGUAAGUCUUUUGUGAAAGCUCCCGGCUCAACUGGGAGAGGCCAAAGGAAACUACUAGACUAGAGUGUGGUAGGGGAUACUGGAAUUCCUGGCGUAGCGGUGAAAUGCGUAGAUAUCAGGAGGAACACCUGUGGCGAAAGCGGCGCACUGGACCACAACUGACGCUGAGGCGCGAAAGCUAGGGGAGCAAACAGG
rnacentral:rRNA from 1 species